CUUGAAAAAGUAGAUUUGAUUUGAAUUUGGGUAGUGUAGCUGUGCCUGUGUAGGAACUUCUAGAGAACCCUUUACCUCUGCCAAUUGCGAAACCCUAAGGAUGAGUGGCGACGAUAGUGGGGGGAAGGGUUUGCUCUGGAAGCUUCCGGUCAUCAACUCCAACGAUUUUGGUAAAUUGGGUCCCGCCUUUGCACUCGGCGCCGGUUGCGGUGUCGGCAUCGGCGUUGGUCUCCUCGGAGGAGUGGGUUUUGGUCCUGGAAUUCCUGGCUUCCAAGCUGGUUUUGGAUUUGGUGCUGGAUGUGGUGUUGGCCUAGGGUUUGGCUAUGGUUUGGGGAAGGGAAUGGCACAAGAUGAGAAUAAUAGGUACUCUAAUCUUGGCAAUGGCACUCCUUUUCGUGCUUAUGGAAACAUUCCUUCUCAGGAUGAUAUUACUGCGCUUGUGGACGAGCUUUUCGUUAAUACCAAAAAGCUUGUUGCGGUAACCUCAAGAGAAAUUGACAAGUGGAGAAGAUGAAACGAUGAAUGGGAAUUGUAUAUUCGUAUAAACUAGGAUAUGUCUAGCAGUACUUUUUAGUUACUUACGAAAUGAUAAUUCAUUGCAAACUCAGCAUGCUUAUGUUCGUAGCAAUACACGAGAUGCUAAAUUCCAUAUUAACAUUCAGCUGGAGCAGUAUUUGGUCUUCAUUGAAAGUAAGAGGAAUGGAUGAUGGAAAAACCUCCACGAGUUAGGAUAAAACAUGUUAUCCAAACCUAAGCAAUAUACCAACUCAGGAGCAUCCCACGUAAGCUCCAUCAUCUUCCACGUAUUAGAGAAAAUCCAAUGAAAUCC